ACAUGCAAGUCGAACGAGGUCCGGAGCUUGCUCCGGGUGCCUAGUGGCGAACGGGUGAGUAACGCGUGGGAAUCUGCCCUGGGGUGGGAACAACAGUUGGAAACGACUGCUAAUACCGCAUACGCCCUGAGGGGGAAAGGCUUUCGGCCGCUCUUGGAUGAUCCCGCGUCUGAUUAGCUUGUUGGUGGGGUAACGGCCUACCAAGGCGACGAUCAGUAGCUGGUCUGAGAGGAUGGUCAGCCACACUGGGACUGAGACACGGCCCAGACUCC
rnacentral:rRNA from 1 species